UUUAUGUAUAGUUUUUAUUCUGUGUUCAACGUUUAACUUUUCGUCUUAUUUUACUUUUUUCUUAAUUAUUAGAUGAUAAAAUAUGAAUAGUAUUUUAUGUGUGACUUAUUUUCUAAAAAAAUAUUAAUUUCUUAAAUAAGACGGACGGUCAAAUGUUAGACGCAUAGACUGAAAACUGCACUUAAA
rfam:Oryza sativa (indica cultivar-group) chromosome 10, whole genome shotgun sequence.